rnacentral:lncRNA from 1 species
CAUGGACAAAAUAUAAGAAAAUAGUUGAUCUUUCUUAAAUACCUUUUCAUUUCUCUUUUCAGUGCCUAUGAAAUCCCGUUGACCUUCCACACUACUUCAUUUGAAUCUGAUUAGACACUCACUGCCUUCAUGCUUCCUCGUGGCUGUUAAGACGUUUGGUCCAAAGCUUUAAUCUUUACUGCGCUUUCCAUUCUUACCAAAUUCAUCAAAACAAAUACCUUUAAGGUCAUUAUGUAUUCCUCAGCUCUGCAGUUGUUUUUACACUCGACUUUACAUAAUGAGACAUGGGAAAAUAAGCACCCUCAGGAAAAACCAAUUCUUCCAGAGGCACAAGAAACAGAAAAGAAACAGCACAGACAAGAAAUAGACAGUUGCCAAAGCUCAGCAUGGAUCCAAAAUCAUUCAAUCAAUCAAUCAACCAUCACACCAACAAGAAUUUUUAGCCACUUAUGUGCCAAGCACUAUGUCUCAUGCUCUGGAUAUAAAGGAAACGACAUCACAAUGGAGUUUCAGGCAUUGUUGCAGAGGUGGCUGAGAUGUUUGUGUAAUGAAGAGCAUUAUAAAGAAUUCUUUCAGGCCCCUCAAACACACUUUCACUGCCUGGUCAUGAGAAGCUCACAGCUUGUCAUUGCAAGCAGUCCAAAACUAUUAGGAAAAGGAAAAGAAAGGAGAGAAGAGAAGAUGGAAGGUGAAAAGAGGAGAAAAGACUGAGUUUUUCUCAUCGAGCUUUGGAAUAAUACUGAGAUUCUUUAGACGUUAUCACUCCAAGAUUAUGUUUGGCCCUUCUAUUAAUACAGGAGAAAAAAAAGUGAGUCAAGGAUGUCAACUACCUAAAUUUUAAAAUGCAUUUGAACUCUGUAUAUUUUCUCUAUCACUAUAAACUGACAGUCAGACAGGUAGACAGACAGACAGAUAGAUAAAUAAAUAUAUAAAGAUAUAUUGAUUAAAAAAUUCA